CGUGCUUAUCCCGCCCCCUGUUUAUUCAGCAGAUAGUUUACUAAACUGUACAAAGAUUUUGUAACUUGCUAAACGGUAACCUUCGUGUCACUGAAGGCAUAUUAAAAUAUUAAAAUAAUACAACUAUGCGCGUAUGUUAGCCACAUAUAAGCCAUUAGCAAUGCCACCGCUGAAUUGUGCUAUUACAAAUGGAAACGGAACGAACUAACGUUAAAACGUUAACUGACGUUACAGACUUCUAUCCAUUCUCUUAUUGUUUGGACAUUUUUAAACCGACAAUGGCAAGUUUGGGCAGUGAACCUCUGUAGGGAGAAAAGUAACGGCUAACGUUUAAGGACAGUCAACGCUGGACAGUGAUGUCUCUCCGACUAUUUUCAUGGUUGCUGCUGCUCUUCUGUCCGGAUCUGUUCAGACAUGAACUCCCGGGGGUUCAGGCAGACUCGGUACCCAGUGCUGCUAAAACUUUGGUAUGGGGACCUGGACUGGAGGCAAACAUUGUCCUUCCAGCUCGAUUUUUCUACAUACAGGCGGUGGACAGCUCGGGGAGAAAUUUAACAACAUCACCUGGUGAGAAGACCUUUGAAGUGAAGAUUGUGUCUCCAGUGGAGCAGUUCACCAGGAUUUGGAUCCAGGUCCUGGAUCGUCAGGAUGGCUCCUUCCUGGUGCGCUACAGAAUGUACGCCACUUACGCGGACCUUCACAUCCACGUUCUGCUCAAGAACAAGAAUGUUGCCAAGUCACCGUUCGUUCUCAAAGGCCCAGUCUACCAUGAGGGCUGUGACUGUCCCCAGCCCAGUGGUUCUGUAUGGGAGGCCCACAUGCACUGUCCUCAGUCCUUCCCCCAGAUAGACAGGGACCUGGCCCUCUACGCCAGUGUUGACCCAGAUCGCAACUCGCGGGAGAUCCCACAGCGCUUUGGACAGAGACAAAGCCUCUGCCACUACACUAUUAAAGACAACAAGGUCUACGUUCAAACUUUUGGAGAGCAUGUAGGUUUCAGAAUCUUUAUGGAUGCCAUCCUCCUGUCACUCACCCGAAAGGUGCGGCUCCCUGAUAUGGAGUUUUUUGUUAACCUGGGUGACUGGCCGCUGGAGAAGAGGAAACCCACUGAGAAGAUUCAUCCUAUCUUUUCCUGGUGUGGCUCUAACAAUACCAGAGAUAUUGUCAUGCCCACCUAUGACCUGACUGAGUCUGUCCUUGAGACCAUGGGAAGAGUAAGUCUGGACAUGAUGUCAGUGCAGGCCAACACAGGGCCACCAUGGCCAGAGAAGAAUGCCACAGCCUUUUGGAGGGGCCGGGACAGUCGUCAGGAACGUCUGGAGCUGGUCAAGCUUUCCAGGGCUCACCCCAGCAUGAUAGAUGCUGCCUUUACCAACUUCUUCUUCUUCAAACAUGAUGAGAGCCUCUACGGGCCGCUGGUCAAACAUGUUUCUUUCUUUGACUUUUUCAAGUACAAGUACCAAAUAAACAUCGACGGCACUGUGGCAGCGUAUCGACUGCCUUACCUAUUGGCAGGAGACAGUGUGGUCUUAAAGCAGGAUUCCGGCUACUACGAGCAUUUUUACAAUGAGCUUCGACCAUGGGAGCACUACAUCCCAAUCAGGGCGGACCUCGGAGACCUGCUGGAAAAGAUCCAGUGGGCUCGUGACCACGAUGAAGAGGCAAAGAAAAUUGCACUGGCAGGUCAGCAGUUUGCUCGCAAUUAUCUUAACGGAGACAGCAUAUUUUGUUACUACUACAAACUUUUCCAGUUCAAUGUUGUUCUUGUAGGAGUAUGCCAAACUCCAGGUCACAGAGCCACAGAUUCAUGAAGGCAUGGAGCUCGUAGAGCAGCCCAGUGAUGACCUGUUCCCGUGUUCCUGUCACAGGACGAGGGCAAAGGAUGAACUUUGAUUGACCUGUCAUCCAGUUAUAGAGCAAUCCUUCAUAUCUGAUAUACUGCCAAAUCAUUUUUCAGAGUGUAAAGUAAUUGUAUGACUAUGAUAUGAAUCUCACAUUAUCUCAUUUUUAAAAUAAAUAUUUGUCUUUUUGUA